GAAUAUUUCAGUGAGCUCUGUAAUCUACGGUGGGUACGGCCAUGAUUAAUUACCAGUGAGAUGGAAAUGGUUGACUUCUAGAGAUUGCAAAGGACUGGUUUUGGUUUUGAUUAAAGACAGAGGAAUGAAUAGGAGGACGGAGGACUGGUCUGCUGACGUGGAUUCUGAUAUUUGGAGUUUAAGCAAGUUGGCAGGGACGGC
rnacentral:lncRNA from 1 species